rnacentral:rRNA from 1 species
UACGGAGGAUGCAAGCGUUAUCCGGAAUGAUUGGGCGUAAAGCGUCUGUAGGUGGUUUGUUCAGUCUCCUGUGAAAUAUCAGGGCUUAACCCUGAGCCAGCAGUGGAAACUAACAAGCUAGAGGACGGUAGGGGCAGAGGGAAUUCCCGUUGUAGCGGUGAAAUGCGUAGAUAUCGGGAAGAACACCAAUGGCGAAAGCACUCUGCUGGGCCGUAUCUGACACUGAGAGACGAAAGCUAGGGGAGCAAAUGGG